GGAAAAAAAGCGAAGAAGACAAAAGGAAAGACUGCAAAGAGAGUGGUUGGAUUCAAUAAAAGAGCUGAGCGCCCAAAAAAUAUGGUGGACACAAGAAAGACAUGUUGCUGGAUUCUUAAGGUAACCACUUCUCUUGGUUGGUUAUGAAGAAGGAGCAUAUCAAUAUAUAAAUAUACACAAAUAUUUGUUUUGAAAUUCAGUUCUGUUGUUAACCUGGUUCUUGAAAAAAUAUGUCCAUAGCUACCGCAAGAAUUGCUGCAGAGCAUUCUUUUGGAGGUAGUUCUUGACGCUGGAGACAUGGCAUAUUUGACGCUUUCUCUGGUUUGUUGGAAAGUAAGAAAUACCGUCAGCCAGGACGCUUUCCGGAAAAAGGCACACUUUUUGUGGAUAUUGAGUGUGGACACAAAUUGGUUUCACCAUUCCGAGUCCUAUCGCGAGGAAAUGUCCACCAUGUUUUGCAUUUCGUCUUGUCAGUUUUGCAGAAUGCAAUUCAAAGAUUGUUCAGGAUACGUAGGACAUGGGAAAAGAGGUGUCAUUCGGGCUAUGUACUCUGAGCAUCCUCACCCUGGGUUCUGCAGCCAUUUUUGCUCAACGGAUGCUGGGAAUUUUGAGUAGGAGGUACCUGGUGUUAAGGCCCCGAUAUUCAAAACACAGCAUUGUUUUUUGCGUUAAAAACAGGCUAACCUUGACGCUGAUUUGGGUGACUUGUGUAAUUCGUGGAGAAGCGAAGAGUUGUAGUUUUGGU